rnacentral:tRNA from 1 species
GGGGCCAGAGCUCAGUGGCAGAGCACAUGCUCAGCAUGCGUGAGGUCCUGGGUUCAAUCCCCAGUACCUCCA